GUAAAAAAAUAUUAGUUUUGGAUACUAAAGAUGAUUUUUUCUUUACUGAUUAUUAAAGUUUAUA
rnacentral:tRNA from 1 species